rnacentral:rRNA from 1 species
CACGUAGGGCGCAAGCGUUGUCCGGAAUUAUUGGGCGUAAAGAGCUCGUAGGCUGUCUGUUGCGUCCGCUGUGAAAACUCGGGGCUUAACCCCGAGCCUGCAGUGGAUACGGGCAGACUAGAGGUAGGUAGGGGAGAAUGGAAUUCCCGGUGUAGCGGUGAAAUGCGCAGAUAUCGGGAGGAACACCGGUGGCGAAGGCGGUUCUCUGGGCCUUACCUGACGCUGAGGAGCGAAAGCGUGGGGAGCAAACAGG